rnacentral:rRNA from 1 species
UUUUCGGAUGGAUUUAAAGCAGCUUAGUGGCGGACGGGUGAGUAACGCGUGGGUAACCUGCCUCACACUGGGGGAUAACAGUUAGAAAUAGCUGCUAAUACCGCAUAAGCGCACAGUUCCGCAUGGAACAGUGUGAAAAACUCCGGUGGUGUGAGAUGGACCCGCGUCUGAUUAGCCAGUUGGCGGGGUAACGGCCCACCAAAGCGACGAUCAGUAGCCGGCCUGAGAGGGUGAACGGCCACAUUGGGACUGAGACACGGCCCAAACUCCUACGGGAGGCAGCAGUGGGGAAUAUUGCACAAUGGGGGAAACCCUGAUGCAGCGACGCCGCGUGAGUGAAGAAGUAUUUCGGUAUGUAAAGCUCUAUCAGCAGGGAAGAAAGUGACGGUACCUGAAUAAGAAGCCCCGGCUAACUACGUGCCAGCAGCCGCGGUAAUACGUAGGGGGCAAGCGUUAUCCGGAUUUACUGGGUGUAAAGGGAGCGUAGACGGCAAGGCAAGUCUGAAGUGAAAGCCCGGUGCUUAACGCCGGGACUGCUUUGGAAACUGUUUAGCUGGAGUGCCGGAGAGGUAAGCGGAAUUCCUAGUGUAGCGGUGAAAUGCGUAGAUAUUAGGAAGAACACCAGUGGCGAAGGCGGCUUACUGGACGGUAACUGACGUUGAGGCUCGAAA